CCAAGCGAGGCCUGAUCAGCCAUGCCGCGUGUAUGAGAAGGCCUUCUGGUUGUAAAGUACUUUCAGCGGGGAGGAGGGCCCUGCUUCAUACCCAUAGAAAUUGACGUUACCUGGAGAAAAAGGGCGGGUAAAUUCUUUGCAGGAGCCGCGGUAAUACGGAGGGGGGAAGGGUUAAUCGGAAUUACUGGGGGUUUUUCGACUCAAGAAGGGGGCUGUCAAGUCGGAAGGGAAAUCCCCGGGCUCAACCUGGGAACUGCAUUCCAAACUGGGAGGCUAGAGUCUUGUAGAGGGGGGGAGAAUUCCAGGGGUAGCGGUGAAAAAGCGUAGAAGUCUGGAGGGAACACGGUGGGCAAAGGGGCCCCCUGGACCCAAACUGACCCUCAGGUGCGAAAGCGAGGGGAGCAAACAGGAUUAGAUACACCCGGAGAGA
rnacentral:rRNA from 1 species